UACGGAGGGGGCUAGCGUUGUUCGGAAUUACUGGGCGUAAAGCGCACGUAGGCGGAUUGGAAAGUCAGAGGUGAAAUCCCAGGGCUCAACCUUGGAACUGCCUUUGAAACUCCCAGUCUUGAGUUCGAGAGAGGUGAGUGGAAUUCCGAGUGUAGAGGUGAAAUUCGAUAGAUAUUCGGAGGAACACCAGUGGCGAAGGACG
rnacentral:rRNA from 1 species